UACGGAGGGUGCGAGCGUUGUCCGGAAUCACUGGGCGUAAAGGGCGCGUAGGCGGCUUGGGAAGUCCGUGGUGAAAGCUCGAGGCUCAACUUCGAGUCGGCCAUGGAUACUCCUGAGCUCGAGUCGACUAGAGGCAGAUGGAAUUCCGGGUGUAGCGGUGGAAUGCGUAGAGAUCCGGAAGAACACCGGUGGCGAAGGCGGUGUGCUGGGGUCGAACUGACGCUGAGGCGCGACAGCGUGGGGAGCAAACAGG
rnacentral:rRNA from 1 species